GUGCUUGCUUCAGCAGCACAUAUACUAAAAUUGGAGUGGUACAGAGAAGAUUAGCACAGCCCCUGCACAAGGAUGACAUGCAAAUUUGUAAAGCCUUCCAUAUUGUU